rnacentral:rRNA from 1 species
GACGAACGCUGGCGGCGUGCUUAACACAUGCAAGUCGAACGGAAGGGCCCUGCUUUUGUGGGGUGCUCGAGUGGCGAACGGGUGAGUAGCACGUGAGUAACCUGCCCUUGACUUUGGGAUAACUUCAGGAAACUGGGGCUAAUACCGGAUAGGAGCUCCUGCUGCAUGGUGGGGGUUGGAAAGUUUCGGCGGUUGGGGAUGGACUCGCGGCUUAUCAGCUUGUUGGUGGGGUAGUGGCUUACCAAGGCUUUGACGGGUAGCCGGCCUGAGAGGGUGACCGGCCACAUUGGGACUGAGAUACGGCCCAGACUCCUACGGGAGGCAGCAGUGGAGAAUAUUGCACAAUGGGCGGAAGCCUGAUGCAGCAACGCCGCGUGCGGGAUGACGGCCUUCGGGUUGUAAACCGCUUUCGCCGGUGACGAAGCGUGAGUGACGGUAAUGGGUAAAGAAGCACCGGCUAACUACGUG